UGGGGGACUYGAGUCCUCUAUUUAUCUCUAUGGAUAGGGGGACAGGGAGACAUGAUAGGCAGUUGGUUUUGGGGAUUCGCACUGUUGACACGACGUCACAAUCGGUGGGGGUUAUAAAAAUCCCCUGAAUUUAUUCUGCAGUCAUUCGCAGUGAGAAAAGCAAUAGACAAAGCAGUCACACUGUACAAAAUUGGAACAGGAACAGCCAACAAAAUGACGACUCUUUACAUUGGAUUCUUUCUCCUUGCCAUGCUUUUUUCAUCACAGGUCCAUGCGCAAAACGUUACCACACAGUCCCUUCCUACGAAUGUGACCAAAGCUGACUUCACGAGUUCCACGAUGCUCUACGUCACUACCACGAACGCCACUACCACGAACUUCACCACCACAAACGUCACUACCACGAACGUCAGUACCAUGAACAUCUCCAUUCCUCAAGGAGCCAGUGUGUCCUUGCAGUCCAGUGCAUUCACGCUCCUCAUCACUGUGGUGGGCUUGCUCCUACYGGGCUGCUUCUAGAGUGUUCAUCUGCACGGAACAAAAGCCUAGACUAACAUCGGCAGCCUAGAUGUGCAAAUGUUUUACAAAGAGCACAUMAUUAAUUCUCGGAAGGUAACCACUUGCGCACCUAAGCUGUGGGAUUCGGUGGCACGUGCAAGAACACUUGUCUUUUCAUUGAUGGGAAUCUUGUUUGUGCUCACACCUUCCGGCUGCUUCAAACCGUAGGCCUACACUCUGUGCUCACUGGCCCCAAGCCCAUGGUGUGGCAACAAGCUGUCUCACUGCAGAAUGAGACAUUUGUCCGUAUACCUUUUUGAGGUUUAGGCAUUAAUUCACAAAUGGUUAAGGAUCGGGAUAGGGUUAAGCCAUUUAAAGUGCUUAACACUGGGAUUGAACACAUGACUAAUUAAUGGUAAUAGUGCUCGCUGUUGCCCGUAGUGGCCAAUUUUGAAGUAAUCUCCUGACAUCCUGCUUACCUGGAAAGAUGUCUAAUUUUGCAGUGGUUCUUUAGUGACCUGGCUGUUGCCUCCAUGGAGGCAGGCCACGAUGAGGAUCUAUUAAACUAUUCUUUGACUCAAUAUUGUGUAAUUGCAGACCGCAAUUCAUGGGGUUUCUGGAUAUCAGGAAAAGCACAUUGGUGCCUGCUUUUCCUGGUAAAGAAACACCCUGAAUUUGUCAGUUCCGGUGUUGAGACUGAUGGUUUCUCAACAUUUGUUUACAUGGCACGUAAGGAUAAUUAAUGUGGCCGUUUAGGUGACUUGGUGUGCCAGGUUAGGAGAAUGAGGUAAAGGGUUAGCUUUAGAUACUGUUGUCCCCAAUGUGAACUACAUGGCCACAGACCAGUGGUGCGCGUCAAUGGGUGUAACUUGAUUUCAAGAAAUGCACUGAUAUCUGAAACGCCCCUACUCCUUUGAUUCACUUGGUCCCACUGUUCCUGAUUUCAGACAGCAGAGUUUAAUUUUGUACAUUUUGGCUGUGCCUGGGGAAAUCAACUGAAUAACUGAGGUGCAUUGUGGAAAAUAACAGCCUAUAUUUGUCUGAUCUGUGGRACUUAUGUCCUUAACAGUGCUAUUUUUACUCCUGCAACUUCAUUGGAUACUUUGUCAGAGGCUUGACGUAGCCUACACUUGUGAUGAACUUAUUGAAUUUUAUAUUGUAAACAUGUGACUUAUGUAAGUCAGUGAUGCUUUUAGAUCUCUUUGUAUGUCAGGUUCAAUAAAGCUUUGAAAUGUA